GACGAACGCUGGCGGCGUGCCUAAUACAUGCAAGUCGAACGCUUCUUUCCCACCGGAGCUUGCUCCACCGGGAAAGAAGAGUGGCGAACGGGUGAGUAACACGUGGGCAACCUGCCCUUCAGUGGGGGAUAACACUUGGAAACAGGUGCUAAUACCGCAUAAUAGUUUUUUUCACAUGAAAGAAACUUGAAAGACGCUUUCGGGUGUCACUGAAGGAUGGACCCGCGGUGCAUUAGCUAGUUGGCGGGGUAACGGCCCACCAAGGCGACGAUGCAUAGCCGACCUGAGAGGGUGAUCGGCCACAUUGGGACUGAGACACGGCCCAAACUCCUACGGGAGGCAGCAGUAGGGAAUCUUCGGCAAUGGACGCAAGUCUGACCGAGCAACGCCGCGUGAGUGAAGAAGGUUUUCGGAUCGUAAAACUCUGUUGUCAGAGAAGAACAAGGAUGAGAAUAACUGUUCAUCCCUUGACGGUAUCUGACCAGAAAGCCACGGCUAACUACGUGCCAGCCGCCGCAGUAACAC
rnacentral:rRNA from 1 species